AGGUCAAUCAAAAAGGAGCAAAAUGAGUCUGACAGCAAAGGACAAAUCUGUGGUCAAGGCCUUCUGGGGCAAGAUUAGUGGAAAGGCAGAUGUUCUCGGCGCUGAGGCUUUGGGAAGAAUCUGUGUAUGUUGACCUACAACACAAAUGAGCAUCAUGACUUCAACAAAGUAGGCAACUUGGAACGUACCCGAUCCUCCCAAGCGAUCAUACUCUUUCCCGCUCCAAAUAAAGACCCCUCAAACCUACCACCCUUCUAUUCAGACCAUUCAGACCUACCACCCUUCUAUUCAGAGCACUCACACCUACCACCCUUCUAUUCAGAACACUCAGACCUACCACUUUUCUAUUCAGAGCACUCAGACCUACCACCCUUCUAUUCAGAGCACUCAGACCUACCACCCUUCUAUUCAGACCACUCAGACCUACCACUCUUCUAUUCAGAGCACUCAGACCUACCACCCUUCUAUUCAGAGCACUCAGACCUACCAUCUUUAUAUUCAGAGCACUCAGACCUACCACCCUUCUAUUCAGAGCACUCAGACCUACCACCCUUCUAUUCAGACCUACCACCCUUCUAUUCAGACCACUCACACCUACCACCCUUCUAUUCAGACCUACCACCCUUCUAUUCAGAGCACUCAGACCUACCACUCUUCUAUUCAGACCGCUCAGACCUACCACCCUUCUAUUCAGAGCACUCAGACCUACCACCCUUCUAUUCAGACCACUCAGACCUACCACCCUUCUAUUCAGACCACUCAGACCUACCACCCUUCUAUUCAGAUCACACACCUACGGCUGACACCUUUAGUCUCCUCUCUCUCUCUCCAUCCUCUUGAUACAGAUCUCUUGAUCCAUCCUCUUGCUGCAUUUUAAGUACAUAGGUUCCACAAGGUAGGAGUGUACCCCCUGCUACUCCUCAGCAAGAGGAAAAAGAUAACAUUUUGUCGUCAACUACGCUGUGUCGUCACAGUGGUGUGAUGAAUCAGACCUCAAUGGCAGCAAUCCAAAGGUUGUAUGAGGCAAUUGUGAAAGGUAUUUGGACAGAAAUAUGUAUGUUUGUCUACCUUAAGACCCUAUCCCUCAACCUCCCACAUCCGUCAGACUGUAAAAAAAAUUUUUAUUGCACUUCCGCAAAUUCGCCAAAGUCAGCCUCUCCCUCUCCUGUCCUGUCGGCCGAAACUCUCAUCCAUGCUUUCAUCUUCUCCCGAAUAAACUAUUGCAACUCACUACUCCCCGGCAUUAACAAAAACUCCCUCGAUAAGCUCCAAAUGGUCCAAAACUCAGCAGCCCAUUGUCUGCUCAAACGGUCAGAAACAGACUCCAUGAGGGUGGUAUGAGGGCCCGACGUCCACAGGUGGGGGUUGUGCUUACAGCCCAACACCGUGCAGGACGUUUGGCAUUUGCCAGAGAACACCAAGAUUGGCAAAUUCGCCACUGGCACCCUGUGCUCUUCACAGAUGAAAGCAGGUUCACACUGAGCACGUGACAGACGUGACAGAGUCUGGAGAUGCCGUGGAGAACGUUCUGCUGCCUGCAACAUCCUCCAGCAUGACCGGUUUGGCGGUGGGUCAGUCA
rnacentral:lncRNA from 1 species